GUACAAAGGGCUGGGAGCUGAGCUCUGCUCUGAGAAUCAAUCCUACACAACUCAUUAUCCCAUUGCAACCUGAGACUGGAAAUGCCUGAGGGCGGGAGGCGUUUCUCCGAGUGGAGCUCUGUCAUCCUGCAGAGCAGGGCACGGGUCCAAGGCUGCGGAAACAGCACAACAAUAACCAACUGCCUUCUGGAGAUGCUGUAUUGAGCAACCAUGUUCAGGUGUUGUCAGUGGAGGAGCUGCAGGGGUGGUGUCUGUGAAAAGAGGCCAAGGACUCACCUGUGUCAGAGCCAGCUCCAACCAACUCCAAAAUGGACCCACCACAGGACACAAAUGGGACAAUCAGCUAUACUGAUGGCAUCUCUGGGAAAACAGUUUAGAAAGGACAAAAAAUCUG